AUCUUCCUAUGAUGUAUUUUAAAAAUUACCUACAUUGUCUGAAUACAUUUGAUUGUAUUUUUAUCUGAUGGAAGAU